CAUGGAUUGUUUGGAGCACCACUCCAAUUCCUUCCAACAACUGUGCCAAGAAGUGCCAGAGGGAAGGAAAUGAAAGCCCAAAUUACGAAAACAACUACCAUGGUGCCAAAGGGUAUAGCUGCUAAAGACCCAUAGAAUAUAGCAAUUGUGUUUAAGAUGAACCCAAUCCCAAAACACAUAAAUGGGAACAGAGAAGCUGUGAGGAUCAUCGACUUUAUCCAAUUUUUACCACCAUGGCGCGAAUACAUUCCCCCACUCACAUAACCAGAAAUGAAGGAUGUGAGCGCAUAACAUACAAUGAAAGUAGUGACAAUUGCUCCCCUCCCAACAUAUAGUGUCCCAACAAUGGCCAACAAGAUGACAAGAAGCACAAGUAGUGCCAGCUGAGCACCAGUCCCAACAAGAGCUGAAAGAAGAACUAAAUUGCGAGGUGGCCGGAAAACAUCCCCAUGAACAAGUUUCCAACCAGACUCCUCACUAACAUCUCUUUCCAGAGAAUCGAGAUCAUCAUCUUCUCGUGCAUAUUUGGCAUAGUCAUUUCUAAGAGUCCGCAU
rnacentral:misc_RNA from 1 species